GUAAUGUGGUUGAAGUCAUGACGUCCUGAAUGGUAUUUUUUAAGUUAGGUGAGGGUAAAUCGGUCUGUCAUAAGGGUUAACACUCAUUCAAAGGUCAAAAGUAGGCCUCCUUCUGAAAUCCAAGCUAGCAAUAACUCAGAAGAGCAAGCUAGCUGCCACCCAGAGGUCCAAGCUAGAAACGAUUCUAGCAGUGAUUCAGGGGAUGAGGCAAGUUCUGAAUCUGAAAGUGUUGCAGAA